UUACUACUCCCUCCGUCCGAAAAUACCUAUCAUCAAAAUGAAUAAAAAGAGAUGUAUUUAGAAUUAAAAUACGUCUAGAUACAUCGCCUUUUGUUCUUUUUGAUGACAAGUAUUUCCGGACGGAGGGAGUAUAAC
rfam:Triticum aestivum genome assembly, contig: Triticum_aestivum_CS42_TGACv1_scaffold_320610_4BL